rnacentral:piRNA from 1 species
AACACCAGCUUGUUGGGAUCUCUGCGG